AGUGAACGCUGGCGGUAGGCCUAACACAUGCAAGUCGAACGGCAGCACAGUAAGAGCUUGCUCUUACGGGUGGCGAGUGGCGGACGGGUGAGGAAUACAUCGGAAUCUACUUUUUCGUGGGGGAUAACGUAGGGAAACUUACGCUAAUACCGCAUACGACCUACGGGUGAAAGCAGGGGAUCUUCGGACCUUGCGCGAUUGAAUGCGCCGAUGUCGGAUUAGCUAGUUGGCGGGGUAAAGGCCCACCAAGGCGACGAUCCGUAGCUGGUCUGAGAGGGUGAUCAGCCACACUGGAACUGAGACACGGUCCAGACUCCUACGGGAGGCAGCAGUGGGGAAUAUUGGACAAUGGGCGCAAGCCUGAUCCAGCCAUACCGCGUGGGUGAAGAAGGCCUUCGGGUUGUAAAGCCCUUUUGUUGGGAAAGAAAAGCAGCAGGUUAAUACCCCGCUGUUCUGACGGUACCCAAAGAAUAAGCACCGGCUAACUUCGUG
rnacentral:rRNA from 1 species